AUCGCUUCUUGGCCUUUUGGCUAAGAUCAAGUGUCAUAUCUGUUCUUAUCAGUUUAAUUAAGGAGUUUGCUUUAAUAAUAUUCCACCUAGGAAUAUUCCUUUAUUUGGCAUAAUGAUUGGGUAGCCUUGUAUCAGGCUUAGAACAUGAUUGCUGUGUUCAUCCUUA
rnacentral:snRNA from 1 species